GUGUAUCACAUUCAAUGCACAUGGGUGCUAGCACUUGAUUAAAUUAGAUAUGUCUUUUGAAUUCUAAGGCUUCAAUUCUAUUGGUUAAAGUUGCAACUCUAGUAUCUUCAAACUCCCUUAAAUAAAGGUAUGCAUUUUCAAUUUCAGUAAAUGUAGGAUGCAUGUUAAUCAUUUGAGAACCAAUUAUAAAAUUGUUAGUUGAGG
rnacentral:lncRNA from 1 species